AAAAGUUUAGAACAAUAAACCAUCUCUGUGUCGUUACAAAAUUUCUUCUCCACUCCCGAGACUGCUAGCCUAGCUGCUCAUGAAGUAGUCCCUUUCUAUUCCUCUAUGCAAGGCUCUAGAAGAAUUUCUGGGCUCCCCCUCUAAUGGGAGUACAAAAAUCUUUUUAUAGGUGUUAGGAGGGAAGAGUUUUACAUGAUUUUCCGAUGUGGGACUAAAGAAAAUACAAAUCUUUCCUUUCAAAAUAUUUCUAAAUAUUAAAUAAGUAUUUGUUUGACUGCCAUCAAAAAUUUCUUGUGAACCCAUC
rnacentral:lncRNA from 1 species